AAAGAAAACCAAAAACAAAAUUAUGUUUAAUUGACUGACGGUUCAAUCAUUAAGAACAAACAGAGGACACCGAACAAACGAUAAUCACAAAGAAACCAACGAUUUUGCCUGAGAAAUGGCGUUGCAGUGGAUGAUACUCACCUAUGUGGUGGCUAUUGAAGCUGCUGUAGCAAUUCUUCUAACUCUUCCAUUACCAAAGCUCAUAAGGAACCGUUUGACUUCUCUUAUUUCACUCAUUCUUCAACCUGCGCUUUUCAUUGUUCCCUUUGCUGGGUUUCAGCUCCUUGAUAUAUACUGGAAGGCUGAGCAUAGGUUGAUGUGUACCUCUGAUGUUUGUACUGCUGCUGAGAGAGAUCGAUAUGAGAAAACUGGUUCCUUUUUGAAAGAGAUAAAAGUGAUUUUGAUGGCUUAACUUUGAAUUUGGCUUAACUCUGUUCAGGAGAACCAUGAGUGGAAUGAGUGGCAAGAUACAUAUGCAGAACAAAUCCAAUGAUAAUCUUAAUUAUAGGAACAUGGUGGUGUUCAACGUGAUGAUGAGACAGUGGCAGAUGCUGCACAACAAACAACCUGAGCGAUUGAAGGUGCCAAGCAAUUAGCCUCGUCAACCAUCGAAACCAUUUAGGGACUUCUUGGUAUAAUAUGAGAAUGGUGCUGGCUUGCGAGCAAUCCUAAGGCGUUCAAGUGGAUUAUUAAUUGUUUGUUGCGUGCAAUCCUAAGGCGUACAAGUUGAUUAUUAAUUGUUUGCCGCAUAAAUUCUUGUUCUGCAUAGGAACAUUAAGUGUAGGGAUAGGUGAGUGAUUAUGGUUGAGGAGGUAUUGCACCUUUGUAGUAGACAUAAGUUAGUUUUGGUGGGUGAGACUUAUGUAUUGAAUAUCUACAUGUAUAUACAAUUGUAUUGUAUAUUAUUCAUGUUAGUUUUUAAUGAAACUAUUUUUUAAAUUUCAA